CCCCAGUAGCGGCGAGCGAACGGGGAGCAGCCCAGAGUCUGAAUCAGCUUGUGUGUUAGUGGAACGGUCUGGAAAGUCCGACGGUACAGGGUGAUAGUCCCGUACACCAAAAUGCACAGGCUGUGAACUCGAAGAGUAGGGCGGGACACGUGGUAUCCUGUCUGAAUAUGGGGGGACCAUCCUCCAAGGCUAAAUACUCCUGACUGACCGAUAGUGAACCAGUACCGUGAGGGAAAGGCGAAAAGAACCCCGGCGAGGGGAGUGAAAAAGAACCUGAAACCGUGUACGUACAAGCAGUGGGAGCACCUUCGGGUGUGACUGCGUACCUUUUGUAUAAUGGGUCAGCGACUUAUAUUCUGUAGCAAGGUUAACCGUAUAGGGGAGCCGCAGGGAAACCGAGUCUUAACUGGGCGUUAAGUUGCAGGGUAUAGACCCGAAACCCGGUGAUCUAGCCAUGGGCAGGUUGAAGGUUGGGUAACACUAACUGGAGGACCGAACCGACUAAUGUUGAAAAAUUAGCGGAUGACUUGUGGCUGGGGGUGAAAGGCCAAUCAAACCGGGAGAUAGCUGGUUCUCCCCGAAAGCUAUUUAGGUAGCGCCUCGUGAACUCAUCUUCGGGGGUAGAGCACUGUUUCGGCUAGGGGGUCAUCCCGACUUACCAACCCGAUGCAAACUACGAAUACCGAAGAAUGUUAUCACGGGAGACACACGGCGGGUGCUAACGUCCGUCGUGAAGAGGGAAACAACCCAGACCGCCAGCUAAGGUCCCAAAGUCAUGGUUAAGUGGGAAACGAUGUGGGAAGGCACAGACAGCCAGGAUGUUGGCUUAGAAGCAGCCAUCAUUUAAAGAAAGCGUAAUAGCUCACUGGUCGAGUCGGCCUGCGCGGAAGAUGUAACGGGGCUAAACCAUGCACCGAAGCUGCGGCAGCGACACUAUGUGUUGUUGGGUAGGGGAGCGUUCUGUAAGCCUGCGAAGGUGUGCUGUGAGGCAUGCUGGAGGUAUCAGAAGUGCGAAUGCUGACAUAAGUAACGAUAAAGCGGGUGAAAAGCCCGCUCGCCGGAAGACCAAGGGUUCCUGUCCAACGUUAAUCGGGGCAGGGUGAGUCGACCCCUAAGGCGAGGCCGAAAGGCGUAGUCGAUGGGAAACAGGUUAAUAUUCCUGUACUUGGUGUUACUGCGAAGGGGGG
rnacentral:rRNA from 1 species